ACGAACGCUGGCGGCGUGCCUAAUACAUGCAAGUCGAACGCUUCUUUUUCCACCGGAGCUUGCUCCACCGGAAAAAGAGGAGUGGCGAACGGGUGAGUAACACGUGGGUAACCUGCCCAUCAGAAGGGGAUAACACUUGGAAACAGGUGCUAAUACCGUAUAACAAUCGAAACCGCAUGGUUUUGAUUUGAAAGGCGCUUUCGGGUGUCGCUGAUGGAUGGACACGCGGUGCAUUAGCUAGUUGGUGAGGUAACGGCUCACCAAGGCGACGAUGCAUAGCCGACCUGAGAGGGUGAUCGGCCACAUUGGGACUGAGACACGGCCCAAACUCCUACGGGAGGCAGCAGUAGGGAAUCUUCGGCAAUGGACGAAAGUCUGACCGAGCAACGCCGCGUGAGUGAAGAAGGUUUUCGGAUCGUAAAACUCUGUUGUUAGAGAAGAACAAGGAUGAGAGUAACUGUUCAUCCCUUGACGGUAUCUAACCAGAAAGCCACGGCUAACUACGUGCCAGCAGCCGCGGUAAUACGUAGGUGGCAAGCGUUGUCCGGAUUUAUUGGGCGUAAAGCGAGCGCAGGCGGUUUCUUAAGUCUGAUGUGAAAGCCCCCGGCUCAACCGGGGAGGGUCAUUGGAAACUGGGAGACUUGAGUGCAGAAGAGGAGAGUGGAAUUCCAUGUGUAGCGGUGAAAUGCGUAGAUAUAUGGAGGAACACCAGUGGCGAAGGCGGCUCUCUGGUCUGUAACUGACGCUGAGGCUCGAAAGCGUGGGGAGCAAACAGGAUUAGAUACCCUGGUAGUCCACGCCGUAAACGAUGAGUGCUAAGUGUUGGAGGGUUUCCGCCCUUCAGUGCUGCAGCUAACGCAUUAAGCACUCCGCCUGGGGAGUACGACCGCAAGGUUGAAACUCAAAGGAAUUGACGGGGGCCCGCACAAGCAGUGGAGUAUGUGGUUUAAUUCGAAGCAACGCGAAGAACCUUACCAGGUCUUGACAUCCUUUGACCACUCUAGAGAUAGAGCUUCCCCUUCGGGGGCAAAGUGACAGGUGGUGCAUGGUUGUCGUCAGCUCGUGUCGUGAGAUGUUGGGUUAAGUCCCGCAACGAGCGCAACCCUUAUUGUUAGUUGCCAUCAUUUAGUUGGGCACUCUAGCAAGACUGCCGGUGACAAACCGGAGGAAGGUGGGGAUGACGUCAAAUCAUCAUGCCCCUUAUGACCUGGGCUACACACGUGCUACAAUGGGAAGUACAACGAGUCGCAAAGUCGCGAGGCUAAGCUAAUCUCUUAAAGCUUCUCUCAGUUCGGAUUGUAGGCUGCAACUCGCCUACAUGAAGCCGGAAUCGCUAGUAAUCGCGGAUCAGCACGCCGCGGUGAAUACGUUCCCGGGCCUUGUACACACCGCCCGUCACACCACGAGAGUUUGUAACACCCGAAGUCGGUGAGGUAACCUUUUGGAGCCAGCCGCCUAAGGUGGGAUAGAUGAUUGGGGUG
rnacentral:rRNA from 1 species